AGACACCGGUGUCAGGCUGCUUAAUAUGGUGGACCCACAUGCACAGCUUCAGAGACCAGGAGGUAAGUAGGAGUCGGUUUAUUGAUCAGAACAAUAUCCAAAAACAACAGGCAGAGGUCGGUACACGGGAAGGCAAUCAGCGUGUCACAGUCUCUGGCUCUGUUCCUUGUUUUAUUUUGAUUCCAGUUUCCAUUUCCGGUUUAUUUUGGUAGCACUCCCGGGUUCUGUUUCUGUCCCUGCUUUACUUCCUGUUUACCCGACGUCACAGCUGUUCCCUGUCAGUACCGGUCUUCAUUACACACACCUGUUUAGAAUCAGUGAUCAAAUCCCUGUAUUUAACCACCACCUGUUUUCCUAGCUCUUGGCCAGAUCGUUGUUCGUGUGUUACCGUUUUUCCCCAGUUCAUUGUUCCUGUCCGGCCGUGUUUUCGUGUACCGUUUUUGACCACCGACCCUGAGCCUGCCUAUCCCUGCCUGUCUUGUCCGCCCUGAUCUUCUGCUCUGCACGUUACCGACCUUGUUUGCCUGCCUGACCACGCUUCUCCGCCUGACGACUCGGUAUUGUUAAUCCUGUCUUUCGUGUAUGAACCUUGCCUGUCCCUGACGCUGUCUCUGCCUAACCUGGAAUAAACCACGUUCUGAUCACCGUCAACCUGUGUUUUGCUGUGCAUUUGGGUCCUCAUCCGAGCGUUCCUGACAGAACGAUGUGGCCAGACUUGGACCCAGCCAGCAUUCAGCCUCCGUCUAGGUCAGUGACUGUUUUUUGUUUCUAGUUUUGUUUUUUUGUUUUAGGCGGCGAGUCCCAUUCACCCGCUGGGAGAAUGGCGUUUGCAUGCGCCGAGCUACCCAGCGAUCUACGCCAUUAUUUUUCGAUCCUCGCGGAGGAUUACCGAAGGGCGCCCAACCCGGAAGCCCAGCGCAGCGCCGUGGAAGUGGCGGUGUGGACCCUAGAGGACGAGGACAGCGUGCUAGAAUGCCCCAGUGUUCGUCACCUCUACGAGCAAUUGUGCGCGCGGCUUGGGGAGUUAAGCAGCGCACUCCGCACCACACCCGCCUCCACGCCGUCCGCUGGGGCCACGCCAGCCUCGGUCGCACCGCUGAUGGCUUCGGUUUCCUCCUCCCAGCCCCGUCGGACCGUCAUGAUUGCACCAGCCUGCCCAGCCCUGGGCAGGAAAUAUCAGAAUAAGACCGGAAACAUACAUACUACAGUACAUAUAUACAUACAUAAAUUACUGUGGUGGAAAUUUCCCUUGAGAGGCAGAUAAGAGAGUUGUCUUUUGUGAGAUUUAUUUAUAAAAAUAAAGGAAAAUAAGAAUAAUGGAAAGCAAAUCAAAAACAUGGAUGUUGAUUGUUCACAUCAACAAACCAAAAACCAGCUGGGGAGAUCAGUGCACACACCACGAAGGUGUGAUGCAAAGAGCCCACGAUCCUCAACUUGCUUCUGCCUUGUAACCCUUUUCUCUGGCUCUGGUGGAAUCUCUCUCUGCACCAGUAGAAUUGUUUGUGCCACUUUAUCUCGCUGUGAGUGAGAAUGUUUACAUUCUCACUUCUGCAUCAUCGCUCUGUUUUCUGGGCGUGUCGCAAGCGAAGCUGCUCACCACACCUCUGUGCGGAAGCGCAUACCUUUUUUGUUGUUUUUCUUUUUUUAAAAUUGGCUUAAUGGAUACGAGCCACCGCACGGUUAGGAUAUAUAGGUGGCAGUAGUGCGACAUUGAGAAUGCAAUCCACCGCAAUCCUCCACAGAAGAAGAAGACCCGCUACAGAACUGCACGACAUUAGUCAGCUGGUUCGUAGCGUAGUAGAACCAUACGUCUACGAUCCCGAAUCUGACCCUGAAGCUGAAGAGGAGGCUGUUGAAGUCACUACAUUUUGGCUGAUGCAAGAUGUGUCUCAUUGUUGUUACAGGUAUCUAAUCUACAGAGGCUAGUGAGCUGGUGCUGAGGAUUCCUGGGGUGAAAAAUCUGAGUUGCCAUCACUUCAUGCUUGGGUUGUAGAUGAAGGCAAAGUUUGUUGGAAUAACUCCUUUACCAUUUGAGUAAAUAUGUGUUUUUUGUGAGUGCAAUACUCAUUAAGAAUUUUUUUUAAUUUAUAUAUAAUAAGCUUUUUAUUUAUGGCCAGUUAAACUUUAUAGCUUACCAUAUUAGAAAGAGAAAAACAUGUAAUUUCAAUACUAAGAUUUCCUGAAUAAAAGUGUUUUCCCUUCAGAAACAGUUCAGUGAAAUACGUAAUAGUUAAAGCCAACUUUAUUGUCAACAAAAAAAUGCACUACUACUCCAAAGCUAGAACAAACUGUUACCUUCACACGCCAAUGUGCAAUGUAUAGGUUAUUGAGUUAAUUAAGAAGUCUGGGUGUUUGAGGACAGAAGCUUUUGCUGCAGACGAAAUGCAUGGAAGUAGGGUAAACAGACCAUGUUCUGGAUAGGUGGUAAACUUGGUUAUGUUGGAGAUUUGUUUCUGCAGCAGGACAGCUAUAGUUGUAGACAGAAGACUAGGGAGAUGUGGUGAUCCUUGUUCUCAUCACUAUUUGUAAGACUGAGCGGAAGCAGUCCUCUACCAGAUGGAAGCUGUGGCUGUCCUCGCCAUCACCUCAUCAAAACAAAAGACGUGGCAUUUCAUCGUGCUCAUCUGCUCCGAGUAAGACAGUCAGAUGGCCAGCACCCACGACCCAUCGUUGCCAAGUUUCAUGACUUUGAGCAGAAGGAACUGGUUAAGAGCAGACAGCUGAAGGGAACUGACUACAGCGUCAACGAUCAGUUCCCCAAGGAGAUCCUCGACCGCUGCCGCCGACUGUUCCCCGUCCAUAAAGAGUUCAUGGCAGAAGGCUGCAGGGCUGUCAUCAGCGUUUGUGGCUGUCCGAUAUUUGUGCAGACUGCUGGGUCCAAAACUACAGCAAAGGACCAAACGAAGCCAUGUUCUCACCUUGCCACAGAUAGUAUGUGUAACUCUGCGAUUCUUUGCAAGUGGCAUGUUUCUUUAUUCAGUUGGAGACCCCGAGAACCUCAAUAAAGUUUGCCGCACAAUAAGAA